rnacentral:rRNA from 1 species
GUACCGUGAGGGAAAGAUGAAAAGAACUUUGAAAAGAGAGUUAAACAGUACGUGAAAUUGUUGAAAGGGAAACGAUUGAAGUCAGUCAUACCAACGGGAAAUCAACCUUUUGAGUUCGGUCUCGUGGGUUUUGAAGAGUUUCAAAGCCUUCGGAUUCGCGGGAUUGGGAUCUCUUGGUGUACUUUUUCGUACGGUUAGUCAACAUCGGUUUUGAAUGUCAUAAAAUGACUGGAGGAAUGUAGCUUCGAUCUCGUAUUGAAGUGUUAUAGCCUUUGGUAGAUGUGAUGUUUGAGACCGAGGAUUGCAACGGAUACCCUUCAGGGCUAUUCGUCUGAUCUCUGAUACGUUGCCUUGAUGUUGAAAGCUUGCUUAUGAUGUUAGGGUAUUACGGUCAAAAGGUUAGAACGGAUUAGAUUCGUUAAGG